GUUAGGAAUAUUGGACAAUGGGCGCAAGCCUGAUCCAGCCAUGCCGCGUGAGUGAUGAAGGCCUUCGGGUUGUAAAGCUCUUUAGCCGAUGAUUAUAAUGACUGUAGUCGGAAAAUAAGCCCCGGCUAACUUCGUGCCAGCAGCCGCGGUAAUACGAAGGGGGCGAGCGUUAUUCGAAAUCACUGGGCGUAAAGCGUGCGUAGGCGGUUUUGUAAGUUAGGAGUGAAAGCCCAGGGCUCAACCCUGGAAUUGCUCUUAAAACUACAAGGCUAGAAUGUCGGAGAGGAUAGCGGAAUUUCCAGUGUAGCAGUGAAAUGCGUAGAUAUUGGAAGGAACACCAGUGGCGUAAGCGGCUAUCUGGACGACUAUUGACGCUGAGGCACGAAAGCGUGGGGAUCAAACAGGAUUAGAAACCCGGGUAGUCC
rnacentral:rRNA from 1 species